UGCUCUCUUUCAUCUUCAGUGAGACCUUUAAUAGGAGCGUCAUGGGCUUUAUUGCUGAACACAUCAGGUACAACCGUUGAAUUCCAGCGGUGCCACCACAUCGCCGGUCUUUCAUGCUCUCCAACCGUCUCCAGGCACACUGUUGUGGCGUCUUAUAUUUCACAGCUGCACACCGCAUCACAUAGUCUUAUCUCCGUCUUUUUUUUUAUGGAACUGGAGGGGCCUCAGCCCCUACAGGUGAUUUUAUUAACACAUUAAGAAAAGUUUACAAACAAACACGCACGCUCCC
rnacentral:lncRNA from 1 species